GACGAACGCUGGCGGCGUGCUUAACACAUGCAAGUCGAACGAUGAACCGGAGCUUGCUCUGGGGAUUAGUGGCGAACGGGUGAGUAACACGUGGGCAACCUGCCCCAGACACCGGGAUAACCAUUCGAAAGGAUGGCUAAUACCGGAUACGACCACUUCGGCAUCCGAUGGUGGUGGAAAGGAUUCUGGUCUGGGAUGGGCCCGCGGCCUAUCAGCUUGUUGGUGGGGUAAUGGCCUACCAAGGCGACGACGGGUAGCCGGCCUGAGAGGGCGACCGACCACACUGGGACUGGGACCCGGCCCAGACUCCGACGGGAGGCAGCAGUGGGGAAUAUUGCGCAAUGGGCGAAAGCCUGACGCAGCGACGCCGCGUGAGGGACGAAGGUCUUCGGAUUGUAAACCUCUUUCAGCAGGGAUGAAGCGAAAGUGACAGUACCUGCAGAAGAAGCACCGGCUAACUACGUGCCAGCCGCCGCCGUAACAC
rnacentral:rRNA from 1 species